rnacentral:lncRNA from 1 species
AUGCACUUGGGGAUGGAGCGAGCUGCAAAAGAGUUUGGGUGGAAAGGAUGGGAAAUUGGAAAAUGGGACCAAAAGCAAGUAAGGGGUGCUAAAUGUUGCCUCCUUCUGAGCUCUGGGCUCUCUGAUGCUCCCCUGCGGGUCCAUACAGGAAGGCAGAGGGCCAAGGAGAGCUGUGGCAGCCCCAGAGAGGAAGAAGGUGUUGGCCCUGUGGCAGGAAAAGGAAGCCAGGGGCCCUGCUCUGAGGCUGACUCACCCCUACACCCACUCAUUUCAGGGUUACAUCUAUCAUUUGUUCACUUGAGGAUGGUGGCGGGGGGGGGGCGGGCAAUGGAGAGUGGCUGCCGUGUGGUGGAGGGGGGGCAGGGGGAGGGGGAUGGAUUCAAAGGCAAGCCAUCCAAAGAAGGCAGAAAUUCUGUCACUGUUCUACAAAAAUGGUGUUUAUCAGCUGUGCAAUCAUGUCAACUCAUUUUUCAAAAAACAGUUUUUGGUGAAACUCUGGCCAGAGAAAGAAACAUCAGGCUUCCCAACAGCAGCAUGAAACCAGUGUGGGCUGGCCACCUGAUGCCAAUAGCCUAAUCUGUUCCUCCGAACUUGAGUGCCCGGUCUGCCAGGAGCCAGGACAGUGCUUACCUUCUCCGUCCUCUCCUCGAUGCUACGCGCUCACGGGGAAAGACUCCGUGCCCUCUGGCUGCCCAGCCGCUCUGGGCUCCCAGCUGCCUGCAGACUCUGCUUCCCUACAGGUUAAUCACACACCUGGCCACACCCCUCUUUGGAGGCAGGACGUGCCACAUGCCACUGCCACUUGCCGAGGAAAGCUGUAGCAAUCUCAGGCUUCUGAGGGAAGACAGGGCUGUCAAGGACCCAGAGUCCCAGGAACUGAGGGGGUCCCUUGUCCCCGGCUGCAGGACUGCAUCCCCAAGGAAGGAAGCCCCUUGUCACUAGGACAAGGCACUGGCACUGCUAGCGCCAGCUGUCCACGCAGGAGGGUGAGCCAUGUAAUACCUGUAAAGCCCUGUGAGCAGAAUUACCUGAUGUUUUAUCUCCACUGUAGUGUCCUUAAGGUGGCUCUGUUUUUCAGAAAGAUAAAUGCAGCCAUCUCCAAUAAGCCCAUAUGCAUUUAACAAAAAAUAGACAAAUUCAGACAAAGCAUGCUGCGCAGCCCCGCAGUUCUAUGGAAUGCCCUGCAGGAUGGAAUUUGAGGAAUUCUGCUCCAAACCCCCAAUCUUGGUGUAUUUUCCCCCAGCAAGUUGCUUGGAAUUUUUACCAGUCGGGAUUAUACAUUUCGCCUACAACUUUGAUCCUCCUGAUUGCCCCGAAUGGUAAUUAUAUUUAGAUAACAUUUCAAAGAAUUCCCAGAUACAUUAUCUUGCUGGGACCUACUUAAUAUCCUGGGACAUAACUCAUUAAACAAUUAUUGUCUAUUAAAAUCAUAACUUUAAUUAGUUUUCCAGAGAUGGAGAAGCCAAGCCCAGAGGGGAUGAGACCCUGGAAAUCAGAUACGUUUGGACUAGAAGGGAGCGGAGAAACCAACUAACACAUGGAGCUGGCCCAGGCAGAGCAGGGGUGGUGGGCGGUCCCAGGGGCACCCCUGCACCCACCCGGGAGCCAUGGUGAGGAACAGACCGGAGCAGCAGUAGCCCCAGAGGCAAACUUCACCCCCUCACCCUGCUGUCCAGGACCAACUGGAACUCACACAGAAAUCCAGCCGCCCCCACGGUGCCAGAUUGGCUCCUUCCAGGGCUGAGAACUCGAGCUGAUCCUCACAAGAACAACUCAGCCACCCUGGGCACCUCAGCAGAGAGCCUGGUGUGUCUGCUGCAGGACUCUCCAUUAGUAUAAUCCUCUGGCUUAUCCCAGAUAUUUUGGGAGGGAACAAAAGGAAGACUUCGUUUUGAAACAUCCCUUUGGCCAUCCCUUCUCACGUGUUAGCACAAUCCCUAAAUAAUGCAGCUUUGUGGUUCUGAGUAAUUCUUUCCGCUGGCUGCCCCGAGCCUGUCUGGGUUCCAAGUAUUUGCAUGAAAUGCGCUGGAUGCCUUGUCCUAGCUAGAGCUGCCAGUGUGGUUUUGAGGACCCAGGAGCGUGGUCUCAGUGCUUCCUCUUCCUCUGAGAUCUGCUGUCUUCCCUGGGCCAUGGGAGGGGUGGUUCUAUGGUCAGGGGAAGACCCACCUUAUCUCUGGGCUUCCUUAGCCUCCUGUGGCAAAGGAGAGGUUGGGGUCUCACUGGUUCUCAUCCCAUGCCGUGCAUUAGAAUCUGGGGAUGGGGGGGUGGAGGGGGCUUUAAAAAACAAUGCCCAGAGAUCCUUUUUAAUUGGUCAGGGUGGGGUUUAUCCUGGGUAUUUUUUUUUAAUUUUUUAUUUUUUAUUAUCCUGGGUAUUUUUAAAAACAGUUUUCCUGAUCUGCAAUUGCUGAGUUAGAUAAUCUCUGGAACCUUCCAGGUUCUAUACUAGCCCUCAAUCCUGACCCUCUGACCCUCCAUUUUAUUGAUGGAAUUAAUUUUUUUCCAAACAUACUUUUUAUUUUCAGUAUGCUGUAUAAGCUGAAUUUUUUUAGAAAUGCCCUUAAUUAUAUAGAAAAGCUGUGUUGUUAAAGUAUUGUUUGUUGAAGCCUAAUUGCCAUAGAUUACCACACAUGUCUAAACCGACUGAGCCACCCAGGCGCCCCCUUACCACACAUGUCUAAAGUGGACCAUCAGAUACAUUUUCAUCCGUAAAAAAUGGUUACCACAAUCACAUAGUGAAUAUAUCCACCACCCCAAAAAGUUUCCCGGGCCCCUUGGUAAUUCCUUUACCUCUCUUCUCCCCUCCUCUUCCCCAGGUGACGGCUGAUCUGCUUUCUGCUACUAUACUUUGCAUUUUCUAUCACUUUAUAUCAAUGGAGUCAUACAAUAUGCUCAGCUUCUUUUUCUUAAGAUUUUAUUUAUUUAUUUGACAGAGAGAGAGAAAGAGAUCACAAGUAGACAGAGAGGCAGGUAGGGGGGCCAGGGAAGCAGGCUCCCCGCUGAGCAGAGAGAUUGAUGUGGGGCUCGAUCCCAGGACCCUGAGAUCAUGACCUGAGCUGAAGGCAGAGGCUUAACCCAUUGAGCCACCCAAAUGCCCCUUACCCAGCUUCUUAUUAAAUUUUAGAUAUCAAGCUCUUUGAGAACAGGAGCCCAUCUUGUAUUCUAUUCUCUUCCUCCAGGCCCCUAAGUUAUCUUUACAGAGAAACCCCUUAUUCAUUAUUUGCUUGAUGGAAAUAAUGAAACUUGGUGACCUUACAAGUGAGCUUCGAUUGGGUGGCCAGCUCCCCACGCCUCUUAACCAGCAGUUCCACUCAGUUUAAAAUGAUAAAUUAGGGGCACCUGGGUGGCUCAGUGGGUUAAACCCUCUGCCUUCGGCUCAGAUCAUGAUCCCAGGGUCCUGGGAUAUAAAUAAGUAAAUAAAAUCUUCUUUAAAAAAAAAAAAAGAUAAAUUAGCUUAAAUGCAUUCAUUUGGGGGUCUGUGGAGUUCGAGGGCUCCAGAAAAUGAGUGUCGAGGUGUGUGUUGGGGGGCGGAGGGAACUAUCUGGGAAAGGUCCUUGGCUUUUGCCAGAUUCUUAAUCACCAGAUUCUUGACCCCAAAGGAGGAACUAUGGAAUUGAUGUCGUGUUUUAUUCCUAUUACAAUCCUACAUGUAUUUUAUUAAUAUGAUGCCUAACUGGAACUCCUCUCCGGUCCGCUCCCUUUCCUCCUCCCUGCCCCUCCCCUCAGUACCUGUAUUUUGUUCUCUGCCUGCUCUGGUUAUACUUCACCCUGCUCCACUCAAGGCCUGUGGGGUUGGCAGUGCUGUCCCCCGGGAACUUUCUGCAUUCCUCUUCUCUUCAAGACCCUCUUACCAAAGUCCCGUGGAGUGCUGUGCCUCUUUACUCAAUGAUUCCUGUCCUACAGUACCUAACAGUCCACCGAAACACCCGGGUACUGCUGGGCUCCAAUAUCACAAACCAACAUGGCCUCAAACCCCUCGAGCGUGGGGUUCCUUUUCAUCUUAAACAAGAUCAGUGUUUGCACUAUUGUAAAUAAGUGUUAGAAGAACCAGACAAAACAAGAUAUAGCGCUGCAGAUUCACCGCUGAGCCGUCUCCAUCUGUUUCCUCCAGAGAUACCGCUACUUACUCUACUUUACCGGACAUAAAAAGAUAUUAAAAAAUAAUGCGAUGUCUGAUUCGAGACUGAGAUGAACGAUAACAUCAGCUUCUCAGGGAUCAACCCAAACACAUCUGGCCCAGUCACGCAGACACAGGUUUCAGAGUAAUCUUCCAGAGAGAGGAGAGAGCAAGAAAAACAUCUCACCUGCUGGCCAAAAGGCCAGCCCGGACUCCACCUUGCCCUGAUCCCCCAACCCCUUGCAUUGUCUACAGGGUCUGCUAUCUUCCUCCCAGCCGCGGUCUCUAGCUCCCUGCUCCGGACCAGCUCUGAACUUUUUUCCUCCCUUUCAGCCCUGCCUUGCCCCGACAGAAGAGCACAUGCAGUAACUAACAGAAGGGCACUGCGGUCCAGUUCCUACAGUUUCAUUCCUCUGCAGUAAAAGCAAACCUCAGAAAGUUACUUACGUGGAGUGGCAAAGGCAAGUCCUGGAUCUGGAAGCUGAGUUUGCUGAUGCCAGCCCGCUUAAAUAGCCGGUCUGGCUGACGCGGGCUGCUGGUAGCACGUUUAUUUACGCCUGUGAGUGCUCGCUCAAGCAAGGACCUGAAAAACCUGCAGCGUGGGCAGCAGGGGAACAGCUGAAAGUAUGCCCAGGUUACAUCCCGCCUGGUUCUUCGAGUCUGAAAGGCAGGUGGUGACUUCUGAGUUCCACGGAACUUUCUUGUCACCACCUUCUUGUCCCUGCUCUCUUUCUUGGCCAGGCAAGACUCCGUGCCUAGAUGACAUGAGAGAUGCAGCUGAGAGAGGAAGAAAGAAACAAAGGACCCGGGAUCAUUGCGCCAAGUUCCUUUUUUUUUUUUUUUUAAUUUUUUCAAUUUAUUUAUUUUCAGAAAAACAGUAUUCAUUAUUUUUUCACCACACCCAGGGCUCCAUGCAAUCCGUGCCCUCUAUAAUACUUAUAUUUUGAAUGGGUUUCCAGUUAGAUGUUGCCAUAUUUUAAACCACAGGCUUGGUGAGGUCGAUUUCACAGCUCUGUGGGCUGGGUGCCAAGUUAGGAGCCUGGACAGUUUCCAGAUCAAUGAAAAGUUGUGUGUGUGUGUGUGUGUGUCUUUGUGUAUGUGUUUGUGUGUUUCAGUCACAGAAUGUACAAAUAUGUACAAAUAAAGAACAGUUAUAGGGGAGGUUCAGGCUAGGAGUAUACAAUUUUAGAUCCCUUCAAAAAUGAUUUUAAUUUCUUUCUUCUGCGGCCCUACUUUUCCUCCUGACUCCCCCCUCCCCUUUCUUU